rnacentral:lncRNA from 1 species
UGAACACUGGUUCGGGUUCAGAGACUGAAGUAGGAAUUAUGACUUUUUAUUGGGCUGGCUGCUCUCAAUUUCUUCUUUAAUACACUUGAUUUCUUUUAAGUUUUCCAUUAGUACCUUUGUUGAUUGUCCAUGUGUCCAUGCAUCUUGCCCCUAGGAAUGCUUUGUACCAAAUAUAUCCAUAGCUGUCUUUAGUUCAGCCCCCCUUGAAUGCUACUCUAAUAUCUUUAUUAUAAUUGCACUCAUUUUGUCUGAUGCCUAAGCACUGGCACUUAGCCUCUGUUAGUUAAUAUACUAUAAUCCAAUAGUUCCCAAACUCUGCCAAUAUUAGAAUCACUUGGUAAAUUAAAAAAAAAUCCUGAUGCCCACUUUGCAACCUGUCCCAAUUAAACCACAAUAUUUGGAUGGAAACCAGGCAUCAAUCAUUUUUAAUGAUGCCCAGGUGCAGCAAAGUUUGUAAACUCCUGCUAUAAUCCAUACUGCUAUUUGAAGCCCAGUUUUGUAACAGAAUAUCCUACUACCAGACACCAGUAAACCUCUCCAUGAUGCUGGUAUUCUGCUUACAAAAACAUUGCUCAUCCCUUUGGUAAGUAGUACGUCCUCCAGGUCCUCUGAUGGAAUGUAUCCAGCUGAUUGGUUUUUCAUGUCUUUCAUAGACUAUCUGCUUACCAUGCCCAUUUCUCCGAGUAAUUUGAUUGCUUGUUCUACCAUCUACAACAGCUAUUCUGAAAUUUCUACUUUACUUAGUGUGAGCCAUCCCUUCCUCCAAACUUCUAGGAGCUAUAUUCCAGCAGCAUGUUAUUCUAAUUUUCUGAGGUCCUUGCUAGGGUGUUAAAACCUGUAGUAGAGAAAACUGUUCUCCAAUGAUAAAAUCUCCUUCAUUCAACUUAAUGUUCUGCACCUUUCCCCCACAUUGACUCAACACCUUCAGGAUCCAGUUCCAUAGAUACUUUUAGUUCCUACUAGUACACAUUGGCUAGGUCCUGCAGCUCCUUCAACAUAUCAUCCCUUUUCUCCCUUAGUGUGUCCGACAUUUCUCUAGCUUGGCUAAAUUGUGACAUGAUCCAAGUUACUGGUCUGGCAGCAGGGAGAAAAGAGGUGGGUAGAUCCCAGUUGGGGAGGAGAAGGAGGGCUGUGUUGUCUUGCAAGGCAGAGGCCUCUGUAUUGUUUUCAGCCACAGGGGAAGUGCUCAGCUUUGAAAGGGAAAAGUAAAACCACUUCUAUAUGUCCAAAAGGGUGAGGAGACUCUGGGAUUUCAAGGCUCUUAAGUGCAUGAAUCAGACAUUCCUAUUGCAGUCUCAGGGCCCUAGCUCUUCCUAACCAUUGCCCCUACUUUGGCCAGCAGACUGGCUGGAAAUGAGAAUUCAACCUUCCCAGUGCUCCACGAUACUUAACUGAGCCAUGAACCAAAGGCUCAGCUUGUUAUGCCCUUCUGGAGAUCAGAGUCUUUAUAUGUUGCCAAAAGGCCCUUUGAUUUUCACACUUUGCUUUAAAUUGCUGAUUAAUCAUAAACAACUUUUAUUUGCGUCUUUCUGAUGUAUAGAUGGCAUUCCACAAAAGUGUUCAGAUUGUUUAGUAAUUAAAGGACAAAUUUGUCUUCAUAAUUAUUACUUUCCUCAAAUCUCUUCACAUCUGCGAUACUGCACCCACCAGCGCAUUCUCUUUCAAAGGUGUCCCAUCCCAACACCAGUGAAAGUUGUAGCAAUUGUACUGCUAGAGUAUGCUGUGGACUGACUAUCAGUAGUACUUCAAAUGUCACAGUGAUGGGGUCCUCCUUGCCAAGUCAGCACUGGACUCACCUUAAAAAUCUAAUUUUAGGGUUUGCUUCCUUGAACCACUCCCGGCACCAGCCUUCCUCGUAGUUCCCUGGCAAACAGACUCCAAGAGGAGAAUCACACUCAUUCUUUCAGGAGGUUUAUUGGCACACUCUCAGCCAUGAUGCUCAUGAGGAAGAGAAGGAAGCAGAAUUUGACAGAAGUGAAAUUAAAGUACGGUUGCAACAAAGGUCUCAGCUGAUCCCCAGGAUCUGGUUUUGGGCUUUAGGGUAGUCCUGAAGCGAGGCAUGAGGCCAAGCUUUCCACCCCUGCACUGGCCAGUUGUUAGAAUUAUGAUGCAUUUCCCUUUGGCCAAGGCCUAUGCCAGGGGUGGAGCUCAGCCAGCACCAUUCCCAGGACGGGAGUGAGUAAGUCCAUUUUAAAGUGGGGGAUCAGUCAGCUCACUUUGGCCGUGGUUUGGGCUGUUAAGAGACUGAUCAAGUCUUAGGUGACUCUCCAGGCCAAAAGGAAUUUUAAGCCACCAUGUAGUGCUAUCUCCCUUACUUUGUAGCCUCUGAAUUAGGGGCACAUACAGAGCAAAAGUCAGAUUCCUGAUUAAUAAUCCAGGACCCUUUUUAAAAAAAUUUUAUCUCAUCAUGCUUACACUGUAUUCUGAUAUAUUGUGUACCAUAAAUAUAGGAAAGUACAGGGAAAACUGAAAUAAUUAUGUAAAAAUAUUCUAGCUUUUGCAGUUGCUAGGUAUACUUUAAUUUAGGCAAUAGACAUGCUUCUAAAACACCUAAGCAAGAAACACGUUCUGAAACAUCCAUCUCUACUAUCUAAAGAAUUUCGCUAAGAGAACCAAUAUAAAACAAACAAGCAAAAAUAAAUAUGAAACUGGAUGCUUUAGGAC